GUUGUGUCAUUGCAAAUUGACCGUGAGAAAUGCACGAUGGCAUUUGAACAUGUGAUUAAUGUCAACGUUCAUUUGCAUAUUCAGCACAGCAUUUUGGGACAAUUGGAAAAAUACAGUUUUUCUGAGGGCUUUUUAUUUUAAGUUUUAAGUUUAUUUUAAGUUAUUUAAGUUUGCCUUACGGCAUGAAGCUGAGGUACUACAGUAGACAUGAAAUUAUUAAAAUCAGUAGGGAAUUUGUAUUACAUUUCGAUCUCCCUAAAGUUUUAAUUAUAUGCAUAUGCAGUCAUGGGGAAAAAGAAAGUAAACCCUAUUUGAAUUUUAUGGCUUGACAUAUCAGGAUAUCACAAUAAACACCUGUUCCUUAGCAGGUCUUAAAAUUAGAUAAAUACCAUCUCACAUGAACAACAACACAUGACAUAUUAUACCGUGUCAUGAUUUAUUUAACAAAAAUAUAUCCAAAAUGGAGAAGCCAUGUGUGGAAAACAAAGUACUCCCUAACUGAUUCCAUAGGAAUUAAGAGGCUAAUGAGCAGGCAGGUGCUGCUAAUCAAAUGCCCUUGAUUAAUUGAUCAUCAACAAGUGUGACCACCUCUAAAAGCAGCAGUUUUAACAGUUUGUUGGUCUGGAGCUAAUACAUGCCUAAGAGGAAAUACAUCAGCAAUUAUCUUAGAGAAGCAAUUGUUGCUGCCAAUCAACCUGGAAAGGGUUAUCAGGCCAUUUGCAAACAAUUUAAAGUCUAUCUUUCUACAGUCAGAAAGGUUAUCCAAAAACAGAAAACAUUCAAGACCGUUGCCAAUCUUCCCUGGAGUGGACAUCCCAGCAAAUUCAUAUCAAGGUCAG